ensembl:lncRNA
UUGCCGUAGUUCGAGUAACUGUGAUUGACUGACUGAGAUAACCAAUCCAUCAGUCCUUUGUGCCUAAAUCUAACCAACCACGGAAGGCACCACGCAAUAUAAACCAAUCAGAAGCAACGUAAGGCGGGUCUUGGCUUCUCUAACUAUCUUUCACACACAACCAAUAAUACCCAACUGCAGCCACUGCGACCCCCGAAGCCACUACAAACCACGCCCCAUACAAACUACGCCUACGUGUUGCUACGGUGGCCGGGAAGGACGAUUAAACUCACAGCAGCAAAUGCAAGCAGUCAAAGAAGAAGAAGAAGAAGAAGAAGAAGAAUGCAGCCAGGACAAGACGGCAAUGCCAGUUCAGAGUCCACAGGACACCGACCACAUGUACAGCAAGAGGCCUUACAGCUUUCCACCCAGAGAGCAUGUUCAUGUGAGUGAAGACUAUCGCAUGAGAGCAACAUAUCCAGUGCACUUAGCUGUGCACUAAGUCAUGACUUUGUGUGUCUUGAUUAAGGACUAUAAUGACAGCAUGGACUAACAUGAUGUGGUCACCACAACCAGAGACGUUGGGAUCCUGAGUGAAGACGCAUCUUUCCACAGGCUUGUGGUGAGGACAUGCAAAGGAUCAACAAACAACAAAUCUUAUUUAAUAUACUUAACCAGAAUAAUUAGGUUUAACAUCUGAAUGCUGUUUGAUCAAAUUUUAGGAAAGGGCUCAGCAAGCUGAACACCAUAGAAGAGUCACUAGUGACCUUCAUGUAACGUUCAUCACUCAGGAUAACGGUCUGCUGCAACAUCUUGAAGCGGUCAUCGCAUGAAAAGUUGCAUCCUCCUGGGCAACAUCAAAGUGCAGGGUGAUCAUCUUUGUGGAGGAUGAGCAGCUGGACAGAGUGCUGGGCUUCUUCACAAGCCUGGUUGAAGCACAGACAACCAGGUGUCACAAUCACGUGGCAUUUGUUAUGGAUGUGCUUCUGCCAGAGGCAACAGUCCACGCCCUUUCAGCUGUCCAUGCAUGUUCCAUUGACAGAGCCACAGAAGUGUAUAAAUGUGGACUGCAGUAUGACUCGAGGUAUGCUACAUACAUAAGGAGAGUGCUAAUACCUAUAAGUAUUGUUUUUACAUUGUUUAUGACAGCCUCUCCGUGUGAAUUUCCUUUUACUAAUCGCUAUUUUCUUCUGUUUUGUCUCAUCAGUGAAAAACGGCUGUUGGCUCAUUACAUGACAAAUGAGCAAGGAGGCAAAACAGCAACUAGAAACAUAUGCUGAAUAACUCAGAAGAGCUCUGGACUCUGAGGAGUUUUUGAAGAGGCUUUAGUAUUUAUGUAGGAUGAAUUAAAAAAUAGUCUGUGAAAUGAUAAUGUUUUAUUUUAUUGCCAAUAAAAGUUGUUGCUGGCUAAUUCAUUUGUCUCAACUUUUGUGUUUUGAGGUACAUAUUUUAAAGACCUGUGUAUGGUCAUAUUUAUAAAUACAUAAAUACAUUUUAUUUGUGUCAAAGGGCCAGCAGUCUUUUCUGUUAACCCAUAAGAAAUCAUCACCUUAGAGUGAUAAUUAUGGCAUCUGAUGUAGUAGGCCAAGCUCUGUGACAGUGUGGCUCUUAGAAAAACGGCUGGUGGAAACAACCUAUUUUAAUCGAAAUGACUACUACUAAUUAUUAUUAUUAUUAUUGUAAAUAUUUUAUUUUAUCGAGUUUAAAAUAACCUUGUACAGAUACAUUAGUCACUUAUAUAAAAAAUGAAAAGAUGCAUGCACCAGAUUUAGCAGUCCUAUAUAAUCUUUUAUCAGAUUAAUCUUUUAUCCCAAUCUUUUAUUUUUUUUAUUACUUAACUUUCUAUUUUUGUAUAUAUUUAUUGUUUCAAGCACAUUGUUUGCAUU